rnacentral:rRNA from 1 species
AUUGAACGCUGGCGGCAGGCCUAACACAUGCAAGUCGGGCGGUAACAGGGAUAGCUUGCUAUCUGCUGACGAGCGGCGGACGGGUGAGUAAUGCAUAGGAAUCUGCCUGGUAGUGGGGGAUAGCCCAGAGAAAUUUGGAUUAAUACCGCAUACGCCCUACGGGGGAAAGCAGGGGAUCUUCGGACCUUGCGCUAUCAGAUGAGCCUAUGUCGGAUUAGCUUGUUGGUGAGGUAACGGCUCACCAAGGCGACGAUCCGUAGCUGGUCUGAGAGGAUGAUCAGCCACACUGGGACUGAGACACGGCCCAGACUCCUACGGGAGGCAGCAGUGGGGAAUAUUGGACAAUGGGCGCAAGCCUGAUCCAGCCAUGCCGCGUGUGUGAAGAAGGCCUUCGGGUUGUAAAGCACUUUCAGCGAGGAGGAAAGGGGUGUUGCUAAUAUCAGCGCCCUGUGACGUUACUCGCAGAAGAAGCACCGGCUAACUCCGUGCCAGCCGCCGCCGUAACAC